CAGGAUCACAAUCAGUGUUUGAGUGCACACUGUGACGUCUAUAUGAUACGCCGUAGAACCCCUUUAGGUCGUCAACAAUUAUGCAGAACAUCUUGGUGACGGUAGUGCUUUUUUGCAUCUCAGGUGAGGGGGUCAGGCCUGUAAACUGAGAAGUAUAAAGCAGCGAAGUACAAGGGGCUGUAGAAGCACAAAGGAAGAGACAAUUAAUUCUUCUUGGGAAGCGGUCCAGGAAGGCUUUGUGAGGAGGCCUCUGGAUGGCACGUAGGGAUGGCUGAGUGACUCCUUUUCUUCACCUCACAAGACAGCACAAACAUCACGUCUGUUGAGAACUACCUUCACCUUCUGGGCAAUGGGCCUGAUUCUCUGUGCGUAACGAGCAUCUCCAUCACGGCUUUAGACUCAUUAUUGGUUCAGGUGCCCUUUUCCCCUGCUGGGUUGUGAGCUCCUCCAGGGCAGGGAACAUGAGUUUGUUUCCUCAGCAUCCAGCCUGAGCAGGAGCUCCAUUCACUGUCGUUGAAUAAAUGAGGUGUUCUUGGGUAAAUAUGGAGAGUUAGUUGGUGGGGGUGUGUGUAGAUUUUAGGGAUGUUUGUGAGAAAGUGAGAUGUGGGAAUAAAACCCAAAAAACCAUUUCUCACCCAUAAAAUGACGACUGAACUUGGCUAUUUAGGCAUUGUUACUCCUUCUUUUAGUCUUCCUCACAUGCUGUUUCCUGGUGUGAGGAGCCUGCUGGCGGGGAGUCUAAGAGGUGGUUUGGAGAAGAGAAUGCCAACCUGGUCGCCAGACCUACGCUCUCAUCACAGCUCUGCACUGACCUGCUGAAUAAACUUGGGAGAAGGGCCUUUUUCUCUGGGUUCUCUGGGGUUCGAUUUCCUCAGCUGUAAAAUGAGGCAAUGAAACCCAUCUCACAAUAGUGUUGCGAGAAUUAAGUGUAUAAUAGCAGCUCAUAGGCUUUUAUAGAGAUAUUAGUGCUACUCACCAUGCCCCUUAAGUUGCCGCCUGUCUCUGCCUUCUCCCUGUGAAUUCCAGAUUGUAUGCUGAUCAAGAGUGUGGCAUUUUGAACCAAACUGUCUAGGUUA